CUCCCUUAUUCCCUUAUCAAUUUAGAAACUCUCCCUCAUUCCCUCAUUCUUUUAUGAACUCGGGGGCCCCUUUUACCUUGACCUAUGACGAAUGUUAGCUGUUGAGAAGGCAACUCGUUAGAAUGGUUGAGGGAUACUGACGCCGAAACUCUCACUUUCACUUUUACGAAUAGGCGCGGGUAGGAGGAAAUACAAAUGGUAAUUAAAUACACGUGAUUGGAUACUUUUCUGGUUUCUAUUUUCUGCACCCUAAUUCAGGAAUUAGUUUCGACAUGAUCUAUUUUACUUACUUCGACUCUAAGACAGAUGAGAGAAUUUCUCCUAAAAAAGCCAGCUACGGGAGAUAUUACUCCAACUUGAAAAAAGAAUUCAUAAUUGUGGGAAGUCUAAAGCAACUCUUAGGAGAUUCAUAUUGCUAACUUGGAGUGGGGCUGAGAAAACUAAGGUGAGGCAGGGUAUUUAGGGGAAUCAGAUCAUUGACAGGCUCAGGAGUGCCAUCCCGUGUACUACUAUCGUUGUUGCAAGGGAACAGCACGAAACCCUAGGGCAUAAUUCUGAUAUUGGAAUCUUCACUGAUGGAAUCCAAAGAAAAAGGAUCAAAGAAUAGCUCUCAUACAGGGAGUUAUCUUUCUCUCCACAGCGUAGUGCCCCCCUAUUUAUUGUAUCUGUGAAAACCCCUAUUUCUGGGCGUUUCUCUAUAGUCGCUAAUGUAACAUCCAUCAUGGAAACUCGGAAACUUUACUUGCUUCUCGAGCGUCAGUGGCCAAGCAACGAGCCAAGUCACUACAAAUGUUUAGCUAAGGGGCAGCUAGUUCGAACGUUAGCAUAUUUCGAUGAGGAUUUGAUUCCUUUCGCCCGAUAUACUUAACCGAUUAUUCUUCUGGAGUCAUCAACAAAGAAAGAUUCCACAAGGGAUGAAGCUAGAACAGAAACUGACUUUCUUCGCCUAGCUUAAGAUCCUAUAACUGGAAUAGGAAUAGGCCUACAAGGAUAAGGAAGCUAUUCUGGGACAAUCAGGACAUUCUAUAAUACAAACAGAUGAAACAAACAAGCUACUACGCAUUUCGUUUAUUCUUUCCUAUAACAUAGGUACUCUAAAUAUCAGAUAUCUUGACUAACGGAAUGAGGCUCACAGAUACAUAGCAAGUAGGAAAGCAACUACUAAUUGUUGGGGAUGAAACUAUCACAGGUAAUUCAUAAACGGACUUUAGAACAGAACUGAUCUAUCUGUUUCUUAUCUUGGAGUUCAAUCCAACAAGCUACUACUCAAAAAGCACAGAGAGUCCAAAAUCCCCCAAGUGUGUUAAUUUGUUCGAUGCCUGUAACGAGUCUGGUAUUCAUGGCGUUAGCAAGCACUAGACCACUCCUGUUACACUUGUAUACUUUCCCUUAUAUACAAGCAGCUUUUCUCUGUAACUAGGGUGGAUUAGUUACGAAAGUGAAUCAGUGCUUGUUAAGUCGAUGAUAGAAGAUCUUUUUGAAGGUCCACUACCGGUUUUAGCUUCCGUAGAGUUUCUUUGAGUGCGAAAGUAAUCUGUGUUGUCUACAAGAUAAGAAGUUGGACUGGAGAAGACUCCGUUGAAAGAUCAUAAACUUGAUCAAUAUCCGUAGUAGGAACUCGAAACAAUUCCGAGGGCUUCUUCCCUUUAGCAUUAGAAGGAAGGGUUAACAAGAUACCUGUGUUACGUAAGAAAACAAUAAAUGAAAUAAACAAGAGAAAAUCAUUCAAUUGAAUUGAGUAGUAGUGUAGUAAAGAAAUUAUUAGGAAUCAUAGGAAUAAGAGGAAGCUGUAGCCGUAUCAAGGUCCGGGUCAUAAGAAUACGUUCCUUGAUAAGUCAGAAUAGAGAAUAGAGAAGAGAUAUAAGAGUCGGAGUUCAGGAAGCUAUACCCGGAGAAGGAAGGUUUGGUUUGACUCGUUUGUUUCUAUAUCUAGUGCUCAAUAAGAUAAUAUGCUAGUACUGUUAAUAUGCAAGUCAAGUGUUUAUGGCGUCAGUUACUAAUAAAUACGGCCAAGCUACUACUAUUGGAUAAGGUUCAUUCUUUUACUGUUUGUUUGACCAGUAAAGUCCCGCUUUUGGGAGCCCAGUUUACCGGACAAGCUACUACUACUAGUCUGGUUUUUGCCUUCUUGCCAGCCCUGUUUCCCAGGCAAUUAAAUCAGUGUCAUCUAAAAUAGAAGCCGAAUAUCCUUGUAUGAUAUAUUGGGGUAACUAACCUACCUGGUGCUCCUUUAAGAAUAGGGAGUUUCUGUUUUCAAGUAAGAAAUACAGAAGAGAACUGUAAGGCAGAAAUGCAGAAUUCUACUAGUCAGAGUUGACCUCUUUCUCGCCAAAACCCUGUAAAUGCGAUUAACCCACAUAACCCAGUGCUCCUUAAACCCUGUACAUGUUCUUCACCCACAUAACCCAGUGCUCUUUCAUUUAAGAAUAGAGUUUACUUAAUUGAACUUAAAGUAGAGUAAGGGACAGAGUAAAGUGUUCGUGGACAAGCUACAGGACUGCUGUGCCAGUGGAAUUCAUAGUUUCGAGUUAAAGCAUCAAUUGUUUCCCGGGCCUACCUCUGUUGUAGAGUAAACCGGCUGACUGAACUGCUUCCAACAUAGAUGAAACUCUUCCAUGCUUUGAAGCGGGAAGGAAAUCAAUAAAUCCAGAAGGGUGCUUUUCCGAGCAUAGGUCGAUUACUACAAGGGGCUGAAGAACGUAAGGGCACAGAAAAUAUAUCCUUUCUUUUGCAUCGUUUAACAAGAUCUGAGUCAUGAACAGAAGCGUUUAGGUAAAAAACUUCUAUAACAGGUUAGAGAGAUUCGAGAGGUAAUUGUGGCGUGUCAGAGGAACAAGCAACCACUAUGCGCGUUAGGAACCUCCACCCGUGAUUUAAGUAAGAUAAAUAAUAAGUCAGAAUAGAAUAUGUCUAGCAAUAAGUGACUUGAGAGUUGAGGUCGUAAAAAGGGAUGCAAAGAAAUUCUCUAAGUUACCGGUUUGUUUGUAGCUGACUGACAAAACUGCUUCCGUAGCUGACGACUAAGCUGCUUCCUUUGUUGGGCCUGUUCACUAGCAUGCAUUUCCUUCCAUAACCUAUCCACUAGCAUGCAUUUCCCUCCCUAACCUAUCAAAGAGAUGUUUCACACACCGUAUAGUCCACGUGGGCAUGAGAUUCCGCUUCUGUAUAAGAUGAAAAAGUCAAACAAUCUGUAUAAGAUUAAAGUAACACAAACUUACAUCUUCUCUUACCUGCGCAUUCGGCUUGGCUUCUUCUUUAUCGGAUAUUCAAGUAGAAAAGAAAUGGACUCUCCUAAAGCUAGAAGAUAUUGCGCUAAAGCAACUAAUACGGAAUUGAAUCUAUCGUAGGUCUUAACACCUUGCUUGAAUUCUACAUCUAGUCUCACUUUACUGCAUCACCGGUCUCGCUUUACUGCAUCGCAGGCUUACUUGACUUAUUGCUGGACUGGAGUUACCUCCGCGACUCCUGACUUUCAAACAACUAAUCUCAAAUCUGGCUUUACCGUCUCUAGGCCCUACGCUCGUUAGCCACAUUCCUACUCUACUGUUUCACAAACCGCUUCCAUGCCUCUAUUCCUUAGUCCGUGGAGGAUCUACUCAUUCUUUGAUUACUGAGUUCAACUCCGAUGCUUACUACUAUAAUAAGUAUUAGCCCUAAGUAUAAGUACAAGUAUCCUCACCUCAGUUAUGAUAUAGAAAUAAGUAAGAGAAACCCAAACUCGUGCUACAAAGUAGGAAAGCAAGAAAACCACUCAGUAGUAACAAAACAAAUCCCUGACCACCUUUCACUCUUAAACUAUGGUAUCUCUUUCUUUUGCUAGUGUCAAUUCAUUCUUACAAGAUAUACAGUAUUGCAGUAAGUAAAGUGGAUGUCGAGUUAAAGUAGCAGAGGUACUAGUGGAAGAACGAAAGAAAGAAGUGGGGUUUUGACUACUGGUGAGUAAGGCCCGUUAGCAGCGAUUUCCGUAUUAGAAGCAGUGGUUACAGUAAUAAAGGGAACAGUUGCAUCCCCAGUUUCUAGCUAUAUAGCCUUUUCGAUAUUAGUUAAAGAGAGUAAGCCAGGACAUGCUAACUGGUAUUACUUGAAGAAUAAGAGGCAGUAAAGUAAGCCCUAGAGUUAAGUCAAACAAAAAGAAAGGGAUGCUAGUUUUAAGUAAGUAGUGGCGGGGUGAGAUAAGUUAUAAACGGAUUUGGAGUUAGGAGCGGUGGACUCAAGUUAAUAAGGCAUGCAAGUGAACAUAUAAGGAUUGACAGCUUAGUGAGUAAGGCUGGGUCUUCCGAGGGAGUAGUAAGGCUUAGUUCCCGGGGAGUUAAGAAAGAAAGAAAGUCAAGAUAGUAAGCCCGAGAGAUAGUUACUACAGAACAAAAGCAAAGAGAUAUAGACUGAAGUGCAAGGUAUGGGUUAAAGACCAAUACAAAGGAAAGAAAUAAUGAUAUAAGUUAAUAAUGAUAUAAGUGCUAGUCAGAAUCCGUGUUAUGGGAGGUAGAUUUUAAGCAAGUGGCAGCAUCCUUUCCUUAUAGUUAAGCUACGAGGCAUUAGUAACAGAUUGCAAAUGCAGCUAAAGGAUUAGAUUAAGUAGCGGCAGGCCAACGCUCAAGGUGGAGAAUAAAGAAAAGGGAAAUAGGCUGAUAGCACGGACAGUCAGAGUUGGAGCGAGGAAUAGGGAAUGCCAGGUAUAUCGCUAAUUCUAAGUCUUAUAGUAGUGAAUCCUUAAAAGCGCUAGUUCAAUCCUAUUAGGUGGGGUAAAUCUGAUAGUGAGCAUUGAAUGAGUUAAAGGCUGAACUCGCCAACAAGGGAAAAGCUACAGUGUACUACUGCUACACAAGAUUGGAACGGAUACUGGAAAGAAUGGAACUGCUAAGACCUUAAAGCUGCCUUUGCUUGCUUCUAUUCUCUGUACUGCUCCUUUGAUUCCUUACUAAAACUAUCCGACUGAAAAACGACUCCAAUAGAAACGUCGGUGUACGAAUCUCUCCUCAACGCCUGCCUCCCUUGUGCACCUAAUCUUGCUUCUUAGUUAGAGGCUUCCGUUCCUGUAUCUCAACCGGACUUACACUACUUUAUCUCAUUACCGCGCUGCUUACUAUAAAAACACCACUUACGGACUUAGAGGCUGACUAUACUGUGUCUCAUCCUUACUCCCCCGCCUAUUAGUCUGUUGCUUGACUUGCGGAACGAACUACUAUAGAAUCCGGAAUGAACUGAUAGGUAGUCAAUCUUACUCAUUACCCCAGAGCCUUAGCCUGACUUGCGUUAGUGUUAGCCUCGCUUUACUGCUUGAAAACUUGACUUCAUCUUCCACUCUUCUACUCCGGCCUUAUCGGGUGUUUAUCAAACUUAACUACUUAUCAACACUACUAUGUUUCUCAAACUUCACUACUUACACUACUAUUAUAGGUGCGGAAAGCCUGCUGGCAAACAGUAAAGACAAACAGACUACACUACAGCUACGGGCUUCUUAGUUCGAGCCUGGCCUGGCUCUACUCCCCUGGAUCUUAGCCAGCUACUGAUGGAAUCAAUUCUGAUAAUGAUAAUCCAAAUUCUAAUAUACAACAAUUCAUGUCACCACCAAACACCCAACUUGUUUUCUGACUUCCAAAACCAACCCAAUGGUUUCCUAGUUUAGGGUGAAAUGCUUUAGUGACGCUUUCAUUCCCUCCCAAACCCUUGUCGACUUCUACCCUAUUCUAUUCCGAUUACCUCUAACCUUUUCUAUUCCUAUCGGUACCUUUCAAAAAGCCCGAGUGUUUACCACUGCAUUGAUUCAGUGCUUCUCCCCGCCCGGUGGCAUUGAUUCCAUUCCGUGCAGCUCCCCGGCCCGGCACACAACAUGGCUAUAUAUCAAAUAGAACAAAUAUAGGAAAUAGAAAUAGUGGAGCUGUUCCAUUGAAACCAGUUACUCUACGCAAACCACUAAUAAUUAUAAGAAAAAAUCACUAUCAAUACUAUUGAAAUACUAUUAACAUUAUAUACUAUUGAAAUACUAUUAACAUUAUAUAAGUAAGAGAAUGUUUGAACAAGCAAAUCCAGAAAGAAGAUAAGGUACAGUAAAUAGGAUAAGGUAUAGCUCUUAAAUGACAAAUACAGAAUGAGGGGCAGGGCAGACUUUAAUCAAGGGGUGGCGGAGUGGACAAGCAAGGAUCGGAAGACCAACAAUCUCACUACAGAGGGCGGUGGGCAGGAGUGAUCAACAUAUAGGUGAUACAAUAAGGCAGGGCAGGCCCAUAGUCAGUAUAUCCAGGAUCCGGACCAGUAGAAAUAACUCCCUCCGCGCAACGUGUUCAACAUAACAUGUUUCUUAUGAGUCCAGUGUUUGUCUAAGUGACUUGGCUACUUAACACCGACCCACAAAGUGAUAUAACGAUUUCCCUUUUUGAGUCUAUUCCGCUAAGCAAAUAGAAAGACGUUUACUAUACAUGAACUUAAUACCGAAUUUCAUAAUGCAGAAAUCCACUACUAUAUCUAAGAUCUAAAGUACCGAUACAAAGAGUAGAACCCAGCUGCCAAAGCCCUAUUAUCUCCCCUAGCGCCUACCUCCUGUAACUUGACUCCCUUUGCUUUCAUUCCAUCAGUUAUUCCUCAAUGCCUUAUUAUUUCCCCACUUCUUGAUUCUUAUGUUUCACUUGUAUUGAUAUGUAUUGGAAUGUGUUUUCUCAUUAGAAUAUGGAUAUUAGUUUUCUCAUUAUUAUAUGGAUAUUGAUUUUCUCAUUAUUAUCGUACGAGAACAUAUUAUCAUCAGUAAAUAAACGAAGUGACACUAAUCAAACAAUCAGAGACAGGAGAGAGGUAGGCUCAGCUCACUCCCAGCAAAGUCAGAAAUAAGAUCGAGGAAGGGCGGGCUCAUAGGUGAACAUAUGAUUUAGAUUAAGUAGCUUCUUACAGGCCAAGAGCAAGGAAAGGCAUACUUCAAGCAAGUAGCAGAGGAGAAGGUCUUGAGGUAAGGAGCCGACGCCUAGGUAGGUUAGAAAGAAAUACAUAAUGAGAAAGGUUAGAAAGAAAUACAUAAUGGAAUAAGUAAGUAAAGAAUCAAGGUUGUAAAGACUCCAAAUAAGUAGUGCCAGGCUAAGAGCCAGUAAUGCAAGGUUGGUUCAUUCCACACAAUAAUAGGAAGGCGAAGUUUCUAGUAUAAGUAUGAGUUCCCAGCUAAGCUCUUAUUGGUAGUAGUAUUUCUAUAGUGGGCUGUAUUCCAUAGUAGUAUUCGUAUUCCCAUAAUAGUGUUUUAGGUUGAAAACAAAGAAAGGUAGGCUUGAUAUCAGCAGCACAGGGCUUUAAUACAGCUGUUAGUGGUCCACACCCUUAUGCCCCUUGCUUCAAAACGGUAUCUAUGCUUUCGCUCUUUAGCUACUGGAAACAACACUGCCGCGUAACGGGCUUACUGACGCGGGGAACAAACAAAGUUGAAGCUCCCGUUUUUAGCUCGCUACCGCUACACACGAAUACAGGACUUGCUCAUAACUUCGUAAGACUUGUUAUUCGUUGCUGCCGCUUUUCAGCUCGCUGACGCUCUUUUAACUCGCUACCGUUUAGCUCAGGCUCCUACCGCACAACGUCCGAGCACAGAUACUGUAAUAACUUCGUUAUGACUUCUGACUAUUGCUGACGCACAACAUUAGCAGUUGUUUGUCCCGUUGCUUGGUCAUUAGUAGUUGCUUGGUCGAACACAUAACUAGUAAUAACUGGGGAACUCUAGCGGCCCUGCCGCGCAACAUUAGUAGUUGCUUGGCCCUAUUGUUGUUACUGCCGCACAACUACUUCCGUAGUUGCUUGGCGUCUAGUAGUUGCUUGGUCGUUAGUAGUGGCUUGGUCAUUAGUAGUUGCUUGGUCGUUAGUAGUUACUUGCCCAGUGUCUUGGCUCUGCUUUAUUUAUGAUUUUAGAAAUUGAUUCAUCGGGACUAUUGGAUUGGAUUCUGAAGUCUACUCCCCACUCCUCUGUAAACUCAGUAAGAUACUUACCUCUGCUCUGUCAACAAUUCUUCAUUCUGAUCUUCUUUCACUGUAAACUACCCACAAAGUCAGUCCACAACCCUAGCCUCCAAGCGAGUACUCUCUGACUCCUAUACGAAGCCACCUCUUUUUCUUUUCACUCUUGAUGGCUACAGAUGAAAGUAGUUCCGGUCGGUUUGAUUCUUUAGUUCAAUACCAGAGGAUAGGUCAAUACCAUAGGAUAGGUGAGCAAGGUUCGAAUUCUCUACAAGGUCUCGGUUCUCUUCUCUUCAAAUUCAUAGUCAAGGGCAGUCUAUAAUGAACUUUACUACUGUGGCAGUCCAUAAUGAACUUUACUACUGUAAUGGGCUCAUUCAUUUAAUCAAGGGGGUUCGUUUUUCAUGGAAAGAAAGUUGUCGUCGUAUAAUCAGGUGCCUAUAGUCAAGUUAUUUGGAUUUAGGAUUUCGGUGCGCAAUGUAAAUAAUCGAGUUUGGAAUGGCGAAUAACAGUAUUAUAGGGUUCAUGGUAUGGCAAGUCAAUAUAUAAGUUGCCAGUAGGUAGGUCAUAGGGCCCUCGACGCCCCGCAGGGCUUUCAACAACACUUCUUUUCUGUCCUGAUUCCUAUGGUCAGUCAAAAAUCCAAUACAACGAGGAAUCUUCCUUCAGUAUCUUAGAUGCAUCUCAUAUUCCUUUCUCCCAACAGCUAGAUCAGCUCAUAUUCCUUGAUUUCUCUCAACAGCUAGAUCAGCAUCUCAUAUUCCUUGAUUGAUUUCUCCCAACAGCUAGAUCAGCGGCUGCUCCCAACAGCUAGAUCAGCUCAUAUUCCCCCUUAUCCAAAAUGUCGCUACUAUGCAGUGGUGAACAUACUUUCGUUUUCGUGCCUAGGCUCGCAGCGGAUGAGAACCCACCAUAAAUAGAGAAUACUAAGGUAACCCGGAAGCCCAUAAAUAUGGAAUACUCUGAAUAGAGAAUACUAAGGUAACCCGGAAGCCCAUAAGAAGAUGUGCGCCGAGUUCUCAAACUAUAGAAACUAAUGAAAAGCCUACAAUUAGGAAGUAUCAAAGACAAGGGAACCCCAGAGUCAGCAUCCAACAAAACACUAUAGGAAGCAGAAACCAAUAGGGUAGGAUAACCAAUAAUCUUCUACUUACGUUGGGAUUCAGAUCUUCGAGUUUCAGUAUAGUACAGUUUAGCAAAAGCAUCACUCUCUCUUUUCACGCUCGAGCACAGACGAUCUAGGGCCUCCAUCAUAGAAACAUCCUCUAUAACUGCCUAACUUAUGCUGCGUUGCCUAAGCUUCCUUUUCUCGUUCUAGGCCUAUGAGCUGUAGCAUGAGUUCCCGUUAGUGGGCUAGUCUUUUUCAAUCAAAAACAAGGGCUCGAUUGAAACAUGGGUUUCCUUGCGUAUGUCGCUUUUUCUUUCCAUUCAUUCAAUAAGAAAGAUCAAUAAGAAAGACAAGUUUCUAUUACUCGUAAAGGGAAUGUUGCUAGGUGAAUUAUCAUAUAUUUCGUUCUGAGUUUUCAUAGAUAGCCCGCCGGUUGGCAAGAAAGAAGUCACCUCGGAUAGCUUAAUUCAGUAUCAGAAUUUCACUCAAAACUAUAAGUAAGGUAGAGGCCAUUAUAGUAAGGCUCUAGUUUCAUCCCGAGUUGCAUUGCAUCCGCUCUUGUUGUUGUUGGCUUAGAGCCAGCUCCACUGUGGAAAGGUUAAGUUCCAAGAAAGUCUCCAAGAUCAGAGAAUCAUCAGUGACUAGUUAUGAAGUCAGUUACUUGUUAUGAAGGAAGCCCACUACUAGUUAUGAAGCCCCUACUCAGUAAGGCUUCCCCUCUUCUACAGGAGCUGGGAAUUAAGACCAAUACCGGUAGCUCACCACCUCUUUCCUACUUGCCCACUUCUCUAGUAAAGGUAGAAAUUCCCCUAUUCAUCUACCAAGUCCGGUGUUCGCCUUCCUAACAAAGUAGUAGUCCCAGUAUGAGUAGUCCUGCCUAGGUAGUAAAUAUAUAAGGAGUUAACCCGGUUGUAUAUAAGGGAAAGCCCCCCGAUUGCCUGCAUCUAGUACGGAAGUGAGAAUUCCAGAAUCAAACUGGUCGGUGGAAGAAUGAACCAGUGUAUUGGGUAGUCAGAAUUGACCUCUAACCUAGGAAUACUGAAUGGAAGAAUUCCACUGGGCAUGAAACUCAUAAACGGCUUAUAGUAAAUACUCGGCGACUUAAUCUAAGGGCAACUAAUACAGAUGCAACAAAUCAUUCCACUGGCAGCUGUCAACUAAACCUCUUGCUCUCAUCUAAUCCAACUCGGGCUACUAGACCUUAAUUCUUCUCCUAUGACUCCGGCUCCUCUCUGGCUCUGUCAACUAACCAUACUCUGGCAACUGCAAACUAUUCUCUAUGUUAUGUUGGCUUCCCUCUUUCUCAACUUUCUCCUUAAUAAUAAUAUAAUGAAUUUAGUAGGGGCCAAGUAAGGAGAAAUGCAAGCGGAACAUGAGCGGCCCUGCCGCGACACAUUAGCAGUGUCUUGGCUCUGUGAGACAAGCAACUAGACAAGUAACCUAAAGUAACGAGUACCUUUCGAGUACCUUAAGGAGCAAUAACAGAAUGUGAUAGAAUUCCAUAUGUACUAGAAAUAGCGAUAAGAAGAAAUAGUCAACUACUUGAAACUAUCACUCCCGGCUCAGCUAACUCAGGCUCAUCUCAUCUACUUCUGCUCUUGCCCCAACUCACUCGUAUACCCUUAACUUCAAGUCAAGCCUUAUUGUCUCCCUUCCUUGCCGACCUGACCUCUCUACUAGAGUUACCCGACCCGACCUCUAUACCACUACUAAGAAGAAUAAGGGAUCUACUAACAGGUCUUACACUCUAACCAUGAACUUCAGGGCAGCUUGAAACUUAUGCUCUGUGAACUCUGUCUCCUCCGCUUCUGGCUCUCAUCUCACUCAGGCUCAUCUCAGAAACUAUGGCUCUGUACUCUUUACUACUCUACUGAUGCAACAGGGCUGGGCUCGGCGGUAAGUAAACUCUAUUCUUAUUAUCAAGAAGUCACUCACUACUAAAGCACCGAACCUGUAUCUUUGAAACCAACCCGUAGUACUGUCAGACAAGCAUAUAGUAGUAGACUCGGAAUUGAACGUUGUAGUCAAAGAAUUCCACUAGCCCAGCAGCUGGCUACCGAGCACAUAGUAAGUAAGAAGCCAAGCAACCUCGGAAACAGGAAGUAGGAUCUCUAUAUUAAACUCAAACAGGAAGGAAAGGAGCACUAGUACAGGUGAGACUCAUAGUUCUCGGUUCGGGAAUUAAGGUAAGCAGUGCAGGAAUGAGGGCAAGUUCAAUGAAAGUUUUCCUCGGUGCAAGAAGACUCAGUGGAGAGGAUAGGUCGGCAAAAGGAUAGGAUAGUGACGCUCCUGUUGUUGGCGACGAAAGGCAAUGUUCCACUGUAAUUUCAUUAAUAAUGUAUUUGAUCCACUGCCCACUCCGUGCUAACCUAACUGCUUCUUUAAUUGAACUUACAAAGAAACUCAUAUAAUCUAGACUAGAUAAGAAAGAGCAAGCUUUGUAUAGAGAAAAGUCACAAGAUAGUACACUCCUUCGCCCCGAAAGUCAGCUAGAUAUAGUAACCCCGAAACAACAAACAAGGGAACGAGUAACUAUGAAACAAGUAACGCCGCAACGUAGUUAGUAGACAAAGGCAAGACCAAGCAGCCGAAGAAAUUCCGUAUUUGGUUGACUCUGAACAAGAAACAAGUGCUAAUGCGAGUUACUAAAGCGCGUAACGUAAGGAGUUUGCCGGCGCAAGGAAAGGAAACUAUACUAGCUCUAACCCCCCGCUUCUUUAGACUUCUUUUAUUUAUUAAAGAUUUUAUAUGUCCUCACACUUGGUUACUCUUAUUCUGACUCGCCCGAUUCUACUAUUAUUUAUUCUUCUUUCUCCUAGGAAUAGCUCUGGGGCGGAAUCUUGUACUGGUGCUCGAAAGAUGUCAUUCCAUUCUUCAAGUUGAGAGUAAGUAGCCGGAUCUGCAUACGGAUCUUCAGCUAUAAGUUCAGUGUGAGGUGACUUUGUUGUCGGUUCAAAACUUCAAGAAUAGGUUCGCUUUUGGGAAUCCACAAGUCCAGAAGCGGUUCAAGUGUUUGUAACUUAAUAAGUUUAGACAGUAUAUUUCGGUUAUUCAAAUGGAGUUGAGUUCGAGGAAGAAGAAGAAGAAUAAAGUACUGGUUUUUAUGCCCUAGCCCUAAGUAAAGAAGUUUACGGGUGGGUAUGAGUGAAGUUGACCAGAUAAUGAAUCACCAGUGGAAGGAUCAGAGUCAGUUUCACAGUCAGCAGCAGACAAGUAGCUUUAAUCUAAGGGCAAGUAACUACUAGAGCAAUAAAGUGGGUAAGUAGUUCAAUUCUGAGUUUACUCGGUCUCAGGGAAGGGAGUGGAAAUGACUAUCUUAUAUGGAGUGGAAAUGACUAUCUUAUAUAUAGCAAGCAUAGCCUACACGUUUUAUACCUUCCAUAGUGGUUUCAUUCUCACUUUACUACUUGCCAACUUAGUUGCAUUCUCAUACAUACCAGUGGAAUUCUAACUUGACUACUUACUGGCUGAGUCUACUGAGGUUAAUUCUGAGUUUCAUUAGCUCCCGAACACGGGACCACUGACUGACUUAAGGCUUACUACUUACUGGGUGAAUUCUGAUCGAUCUACCCUGGAUGCCGAACACAGGACUUUGUAGUUCCUUGGAUGAUAGCAAUUCUAUCGGUAGGCUUACUUCUCACUUAGGGCUUACUGCUGACUUACUAAUAACUUAGGGCUUCUCUUUUGCUUACUUAUGAGUGGAAUUCUCUCAUAUACGAUUGAAUCUCUAGAGACUAUGGAAUCUCUGCUAACUGAAUGAGGCUCCUCUCCUCUACCUAUGGCAACUAUUAACUUCAUUCUUAUCCUCUAACUCAGGCGCAUCUCAUCUACAUACCUAUGGCUACUAUGAAAAGAAUGAGGCUAAUCUCACUUAAUUCUAACUUGCUUCAUUCGACUCUCUUCUCUUUCCUUCCUCUCCUCAAGCUACCACUACAGGGAUGCAACAAGAACAGAAAGAUACUUUUACCAGGCAAGUAACUACGUUAGUUACGCGGCAGGGCCAAGCAACGUAGUUAGUUGCGCGGCAGUCGAGUAACGAACGCUAGUGAGUUAUGAGGAAACACGGGAAAAAACAUAGCAUGGGCAUUUCCCCUCCUGAGUGACCUGAUCGAUAUUCCUUUUUCACGUUUUCCCGGGAAAAAAGGCAGUGAAGUGAUUUGCCCUCCUGAGGCAUCAGAUUGAGAUUACAAUUUGACGUUUUCCCGUGUUUUUUCAUAGCAUCGAUGUUUUCCUUCCUGAAGGGUUCGAUGUAUCUUCCUUUUUUGACGGGCAAGUCACUACUAACGUGACGCGGCAGGAGUUCUUCCGGGUUUUUUCAUUGCAAAUAGUAGAGGAGUCAUCAAUUACCAAACCUAUCCCUUAUUACCAAUUCUCUGCAUCUCUACUUUCUUUCCCACCUAACUGAGUCAUUCACUCCUCUGGAUUUCCCACUAGCUCACCUAUUAGUUGCAUGUGAAGACUGGUUGGCUGUGGUUUGAGUCUGAUUGUUACUGGGUUGAUUCUUGUUGUUAGUAACUAUAGCCUGUAACGACCUCCUCUCAUUCUCACUACCCUAGCUUGCAGGCUGAGAUGCACUGCUUUCAGGCACCAAGCAACUACUAAUGUUGCGCGUUAGUCCGGCUGUGGUUUAAUCCUUUCUAUUGUAUUAGUCGUUUGAUCCACUAGGGUUAGUGGUGCAUCUGCUGGAUAGUAGGCCUCUCUAUUGACUCUAUAAGCCUAUGCGACAUGGUUUAUAUCUCUAAACUGACCUUCCCCGAUCCAACUCUACCUACCCUUACUUUGAUCCUAUAAUAGCGAUUACGGAUCCUUACUCUAUUGCCUAAGAGCCUGUCCUUACUGAACUUCAUUAUGUAUUGAUAGUUUGACUCUGCCGCUACCAACCUAAAAGCUACCCCUCUUUCCCCCUAGUAGAAGGAUUGUUAGCAGUGGUUUCGUUCUUGCUCGCCCUUGGUUGAGUCUCAUCUUUGCUAGCUCCGUUCUGAGUAGCACUGGUAUCAGGCUUGGAAGCAUGGGUUGGAGUCUUAGUAACAAUAGCUGCAGGCUGAGGAGCACUGGUUGGAACCUGCUCGGUGCUAGUUUAAGUCUCGUCGGUAUUGGGUUAAGUCUGUAACUCACCCCUCUCAUUCUCACUGACCUCGCUUUCAGGCUGUCACUCCCUUGGUUCAUUCUUGAUAGUAAUAGCAAUAGCCUGUGUUUAGGUAGCUCCAUUCCCAGUGACCAGGUACAGCAUCAGUCUCGUUAGCAUCGGUAUCAGUCUGGUUGUUGGGUGUCUUAGUCUCUCACUCCUUAGUGGCAUUCCCUUACUUGCUGGUUCCAUUCUGUAACUCACUGGUUUUAGUCUGUAACACCUAAGCUUCAGUCUGAGGAGCUACAUACCAAGGCUGAGUGGCACCAGUAUCCGGCCGAGAAGCUGUUGUCUUAGCCUGUCACUCACUCCUCUCAGUCUCACUUCCCUUGUUUUAAGCCUGCCUAGCACUUAUUUAAGUCUUAGCAGCCCUAGCUUCAAUCUGCAACUACUAGCAUCAGUCUGGUUGGUAGCAGCUAUAGCCUGUAACUCACUCGUUCCAUUCUCUGACUCCCCUGUCUCAGUCUGAUCGGAUCUAGUUGAAGGCUUGUUGGUAUCGGUUCCCAUUCUUUCACUCCUCGGUUUGAUUCUUGAUAGUAGUUGUCUUAGUCCCGCUUGUUAGCAGCUGCAGUCUGCUUAGCACUAGUAUCAGGCUGUUACUUACCCGCUCGAUUCUGGUUGGUAGUUGUUUCGGAAAUUAUAGUAAGGCACUCCCUCGGUUAAGGCUUGCUGGUGCUGGUUUGGUUCUUUGACUACCCUGUUUCGGUCUAUCACUUAGCAGCUCCAUUCCCCAGCUCACUAGCUUAAGUCUGCUCGGUACUGGUAUCAGCCUGUAACACCUAAGCUGCAGUCCGGGCAACACCAAUAUCAGGAUUGGAAGCUCAGGUUGAAGUCUGAUUAGCUGUUGUCUCAGUCUGGUUGUUAGGUGUUUUAGUCUUGCCGGUAGUGGCUAUAGCCUGUCACUCCCUGGUUGGAUUCUGUAAAUACCUUGUUUCGUUCUUUGACCUGGGUCGGAUAGCCUUGCACUCCCUGGCUUCAUUCUUAGUAUACUUGCUUGAAGUCUUGGACUCCCCUGUUUCGUUCUAUCCCUUAGCAGCUCCAUUCUCGGUGGUACCAGCUCUAUUUCCUAACUACCUGGCAUAAGGCUUAGCUGCAGUGGUUAUAGACCUUAGCUACAUAGCUGCAGGCUUGUUAGACACCGCAUCAGUCUUAGGAGACCCGCUACUAGACCUUAGCUACCUUAGCAUCAGUCUGGUCGGUACGAGAAGUGGAUGAGCCUAAUGAAGUUAAUAGGAGCAAUAGGAGAGUUCAAAGAGAAGGAAUGGCCCCUUAUAUACAAGUGAACUGGCUGUUACUUACUUGCUUGUUAGGGUAAGGGUAGUUGACAGUGAGUGCAGAAUUCCACCAGUAAGUAUAAGACUCAGAGCUGGGCUAAUAAGGUAGAGUUACAGAAUUGAACUAAGUAGUGCUAGAGUCUAGUCAAUAAGAAAUGAACUAGUAGCCACUAGAUCAGAAUGCAACUAACUAGUCAAAGAACGAAGCUCGAUCCAAUCAGACGGAAACCCCUUAUUAGAAUUCCGUUCAAGACUUCAACCAGGCAGUUCAAGAAUGCAACUAAGCGGUAAGGAAGCUGGUCUUCAACUCACUCGUCCAAGAAUGCAACUCGUAUUACCGGGGCUCCUGCCGCCAUGAAUACAAGACUCGGGAACAACUCAUUAAGACAUGUUAUAUGAGUUCUUUACUUGUUAUGCCUUUGUAGAAGUUGCUUGGCCCCCUUUCUGUCGUACAACCUUUCCCAGGACGAUGCCUGAGCCUGAGGUGCAAUAACUCUUUCCAGAUGUUUUUCUUCUUUGUGUUGGAUGCCAACCAAGCCAUUGAUGCUUUUAUUGCUCUCCAUAAAGUCACGCAUUUUUCGACUGGCGCUAUUAUCGUUGAUCUUGUUUCGGGAAUUAUAUCCCUUUGGAAGGAUCAGUAGCGCGUUCAGUAGCAUCGCUAAGCUAGGUGAGGGAUUCCUACAGGUCGGCGCCAUCUAUCUAUCCAUCCAUUCUUCAAGCUAGUAAGGUAAGCUCGCAAGGGAAAGCAAGUAAGCAGAGCAGAGGUAAGCUCGCAAGUCAAGUUUUCGACAAGCAUUGCAUCUUAUCCUACUGCUUUACCUACCGAUUCAACACCAUCCCCAUAUUAGGAAUCUUACUUCUGACUUUAUCCUUCGCAUUCAACUGCUUUAUCACCGGAUCCUUUAUCUUAUCUCGUAGACUUACACUCGCAAAAGAUACACUACUUUGAGCUCCAGCGGCACAAUCACCAGUACUUUCUUCUUUCCCUGAACUCAAUACUGUAUUUCUGAAACAUCAUUUCCAGCUCCUGCGCCAACUCAUUCCCUUCCAGCAGCAUAUUGUGUUGCUUUAAGAAUGUAAGUUCCAUGAUGUGAUUCUGACCCGAGCUCUCCUUGAGGUGAUGAACCGAACCCUCACUGAUAAAGCGGCAACUCUGACUUAAAGCUACCUAUGCGCCUAUCCUUUUUGACCAAUAUAUAUCAUAUAUAGCAAAUUGACUGCUUAUUAAGUUGCAUCAUAGAUCUUUCUCUUGAAACUCUCACUCCAGGAAUGGGCAUGGAAUUUCUGAAUAGAUCUGGAAUUACCGCUCCGUGGGUCUAUACAAUACCCCCACUAUCUGGCAACUCCACUCUAUGAACCACUUGCUGCUUACUUAAGCUAUGAAGAUGCACCCAAAGAAACAGGACUGUCAACAAUCAACCACUUUCCCUGACGCCGAGAAAUACCCUUAUCCAGCAACUGAUCUUUAAACUGACUCCCCACUCUCUUUCCUGCCCACAUCAACACCCUACUUUAGACUUGAAGAACAGCUUGCAGCCGGCUUCUCACUUGUAGCUGACCUCUUUUCCCCUGUUCCUUGAGACAAACUUCAUUAAUUGUCCUAAUCUCGAGCGGCAGAUCCUUCUGGACCUGGUAGACGCACUAACGGAGUUUGACACCCGAUACUCUCUGCUCUAGUUUCAUCCUGAGUUUAUAACCUCUUAUUUAGGGGGUUGUUGAGUCAACAAGGGGAAUUCCACUCAUAGGUAGGCGCAUCAACUAUAGUAGCUUACUCUCUCCGCUCUAGCAGUUAGUAACGGGUCCUUUUUGAUAGUACUGGCCGGUUAAGGGAGGAUUCUCUUACUUGCAAGGGAGUUUCACAAAUAAAUAAGAUUUAUAGGCAUAUGAUUCUCUUUCUUCUACUUUUGGAUGAAGAUCCUUCUUCCCUUGCCAUUGAUCAGUGAGGAAAGCUUUAAUUGAACUUGCACUGAGUCAACCAGCAAAGGAAUCCUUUUUUCGAACAGCGAGUAAACCAACCAAGCACAUAUACUCAGAUGCAUAAGAUUGGUCAUAUUCUUUUAUACCUUAGGAGCUGGGGAGAUACUAUUGAUUUGAUACCUUAGGAGCUAGAUCAGUUGCUGUAUCAAGAGAAAGUCAGUCAGGUUACCCGUCUGAAGGAGAGGCCAGUUCUGCUCUUGUUUAAUCGUAUGAAGGAGCAGGCUAAAGUCAUAGGUCAUAGGGAGGGGAAUAAGUAGCAUUCUUUAUCUAAUGAGGAAGCCUCGGUAGGUUAGGUGUUUGUUCUAGAUGAUGCCUUUAUUGAAGAAGAGGAUUGAUCGGAGACUCGCCUCUCUCCCAUUGCUUGUUGGGGCAGUAAACCCUUUUUCUAAAGUACUGUUUGUUAGCCUCGGAUAAACCCCAUUCUUAAAAGGAUACAUAAAGAUCCCGAUCGAUCCUACUUAUGGUUAUCUACGGUCUCAUCGAUCCUACUUAUGGUUAUCUACGGUCUCAGUGAGCAACGAGCUUCUUCAAUAGCUAGCCUAGCCUCUUACUCCUUUCUAUCAUACAGACAGAGCUAAUUCUACUGUUCUGUUUCCGGACUUCCCGCUUCUGAGAAAAGUGCUAUUCCCGCUUCCAAGCUAGUGGAUUCUUUCCCUCUAAUGAGUUCAGAUCCAUUGCAAACUCCUAAAUUGAACUACACUUUCUCCUUGACCGAUUAAAACAUCCCGAUCAGUCAAAUCAGUCAUAGCGAAGGUACGAUGUAGCGCAUAUAGUAAUGGAAAGCGAUCAGUAACUCUCUUUCUCUCCUUUAAUGGAAUCAGUAGAGUAAGCUAUAAGUAAAGAAGUAAAGGAUCGGAUCGGGUAAAAUAAUCUUCUAAAGAAGCAGUGCCCAUUGAAGAAACAUAAUCCUCAGUGCUCUGAACCAACCUAGUAACCAAUGCUAUCAAAAACCCAGGAAUCACUCUUUCGAACGGGGGCGGUAAGUUCACCAUAUUCUUUAUUAACUAUAGGAGUGGCGGUAAGUUCACCAUAUUCUUUAAUUCCACAGUAUUCCUCAAGUAAUUGGGGCGCGGCAGGAACCACAUCUUAGUACUUAUAGCUUCUAUGACCCAUUAUCUGCAUUUAGUAUAAUAAACUACAGCAACAUGGUUAUGACCCACGAACACAGUUUAAACGCCUGCCGCACUUUUAGCUCGCUGACGCUCUUUUAGCUCGCUACCGCUUUUCACUCGCUACCGCUACACAUUAUCCGUUACUUGGCCGGGAAAGCCUUGAACUCCUCCUGGAAACUCAGAAAGUGGUUGGUUGCUCAUCUACCUCCCCUCUGAACUCUGUCAACUAGCUAAUCUCACUCAGGUAUGCCUGGCAGCUAGCUAAUCUCACUCUGUCAACCCGGACUGCCACUCGGCCAAUGACUUAAGAGCUGUAGGCCAGUUUCAUCUGUGAAUUGACACUCCUGACGCCAUGCUUCAUAUCCUGCUCCUUCUGAUGAUGAUGUAUCUUCUCUUGUUCCUGUAGUUUUAUACCUUCCCUUCCUACGUAGCUUAUCUCUGUUACUACUUUGUUCCAUUCUUCAUAUUCUACUAACAGGUCUUCCACUCUAACUCUGACCCACCUCUCCUUCUGCCCUAUUAUUAAGUACACUGCUGACUAUAAGUACUGAAGUAAUGAAUUGCUAUCAAAAAAGCCGGGAAAACGCCAACUUUGGAUUUCCAUGAUGCCUUCCAGGAGGCAAAACUCCUUGGCUACCUUUUUUCUCGGGAAAACGUGAAAUUGUAAUCUCAAUCGAACCCUUUAGGAGGGAAAAUGACUUGGCUACCGACAAGCAGCGGCACACGACGCUGCGCGUCAGCAACAACAUAGAUGUGUUAUAAGCAGUUAUGACCAAGUCCUGUGUUCGUAACCGAGAAAACGCCAAAUGAUCAUUAGAAAUUGGACAUCUAUUAGCGGGCCAAGGAACUACUAAUGUUCCGCGGCAGGAGCUCCCCUUCGCUAUCAAAAAACACGGGCCAAGUAACUACUAAUGUUACGCGGCAGGAGUUCCCGGAAAAGUAGAAUGAAAAUAAGGUUCUCUAUUAGCCAAAUUGUCUUCACUGCCAACAGCUCCUGCCGCUACACUUACGUAGUUACUUGGUGCAUCUAGUAGAGGAGACUUACUUGUUGCAUUCUGAGUUUGAGGGGUAGUAGUUGUGCUCGUGCAGUCUAGUAGUCCAGGUAGUAGUAGUCCCGUGUAAGGGAGUUGACAGUUCCAGUUCUCAAGUCAGUAUUUGAAGAUAAAUUGACUGAGUAGCUAAGGUUUCUAAUAGUGAUUUGCCUUACUGAGUUGCCUUAGAUGCAGAAUAUGGGUCAUACACGGAUUCCAUUAAAGGAGAGAAAGAGAGUUACUGAUUCCAUUAAACCCCUAGGGCUAAGGAUUAUGUUUCCCCGGCAUCAAUCCCUCGCUGAGCUAGAGCACCAACCAAACCCUAACUACUUUCUCAUAAUUACACUACAGGCCGAAGAAAAGAAGGCAGAAUCCUUAUCUUAAUCAGUAUCAUCAGCAGAAUUGCCAGCCCUAUAGUAAGUUGUAAAAGGAGGAAUUACAGAAUAGAGUGGACAUUUUAUAGAAUAGUCAAGAAUUCUUUCCCUCGCCUCUUGCUCACGUUAGCGCAACAGCAACAGUCACUCUUUUAGCCGAUGAAGACAGGUAUUCCCAGUAGCGGGGGCAAACCAGACGAGCAUACAGAUACUAAUACUAGUGUCACUCUUUUUCUACUCCUAUGUUAUGUUUUCAAUUCAAUGAGUUUCUAGUUGUGUUUAUGUUUUCUGGCGUAACUAGUUAAGGGAAAAGAGGCCUUCACUGGAAUUGAUCCAGCUCCUUCUGUAUCGCUACUGGGUCUAUCUUCUUUAAGAUCGCUACUGGGUCUAUCUUCUUUAAGAAUAAAUGCACCAUAAGAGCUUGUCGGGGGGCAACAUCGGGAAUUGACUAUUUGCGGAGUAACAGAUAGGUUCAACGACCAGAACUAGAGGUUUGGAUACCAGAAAUAAGGAAAUGUCGAUGAAGCUUCUUCUUAAUAUGAUGAAACUCGAACUGGGCGAACAGAACGAAACCUGUCUUCGGCUUAGUGGCCCACUACUGAGUUAAUGCUCUAAAGUGAGCGGAAUGACAGAGUCUCCUUGUUAGCUUGUUCUGUGCGUGCCUAAAUGCCUUAUCAAGCGCCUUGCACUGAAGUCUCAUAUUAACAAGGAAGCAAGACUUAGUGCUAACGCUUAUAUGUCUUGUGGUGCGAGUGUUUUAGCAUAUUCGAACUGUGAUUAUCAUUGGCGGUAGUGAAAGAAAUAAUCUCGUAUCUAGAGGAGAAGCCCUAAGUAAAGUAAAGAAGAAUAAAGUAAUCAAACACAGAGGAGAGUGCGCACGCACCUUAGGUAAUUAUGUAACCCGACUGCCACUUAACUGACUACUUGACUUCGAGCAGAAAGAAUCUCAUCUGACAUAUAGUAUAAGUGCUAUACCUAACACAGCAGCUUACUCCAAUAACUACAGCUUAGUCCAAUAAACUACACUGCAAUAACUUAAAUAACGUCUUUCGCCUAUAAAGAAAGAUAGCCCAGAGAGUAAGGAAGCAAAGCAAUUAGUUGACUCUAUUCUAUAAACAAUGAAUGCUCAAUUCUCUGAUUUUGCCGACAUUCGGAGUGCGGGGUGCGAAAGGAAAGAACAAGCAACGUCGCCAGAGGUUGUGCUAACAUGAGAAAGCCCCUCCCUUGUUAACGGAGUUUUGAAGUCAAAGGGGAAGCUGGGUGUUUACUGAAUUCUAUACCUAUGUGUGUGCUUGAAAUUCCAUUUAUGGUUGCUCAAGCAAAGCAGUAAAGUAUCUCUGGUUUCGAUUCCAUUCUGAAAGUGUACGCGAGUAGAGUCAAGUAACUGCAAGGGAGCAAGAAGCAACUCGGUCGGGGACAAACGUAUCGUAUCGCAAAAGAACUCAACUAAUUAAAGGCUUUCUCAACAAGCAAUGGAGAUGAAGCAAGCAAACAGGAAGCAAGGCAACAAUUGAAUACUUCAAGUCAGAGGCAGAGUUUCGUUUACCAAAUACUUAUAAGACAGAGGCCGAGGCAAGCAACACACCUACUCAUAUAGCACAGAGGCAGAGUUGAGUUCACCAAAUACACUAUACAUUAGGGAUCGAGCAGAGUUUCGUUCAGCUGUCGUAUUCAAGGAGCACCACUUUGAGCACUACUUUGAGCAUACCCAGCUAGCAAACUACAGCUUCAAAGCAAACUAUAGCGAAAAAGAAGAAAGAGCAACCCGAGCGCCUAUAUUCUAUUCAAUAGGUAAAGCUCUAUAUUUAUUCAACAGGAAAGGGUGCUUCUUUACUUUUGGAUAGUGCUACAUCCGCCUAUGUCUAAAGGAAGGGUGCGUGCCUCUUGACUUUUGGAGUGCAAUGUCUGCCUAUGUCCUAAUGUGUAUAGGAGCACUUCAUUCCUUUUUUACUUGACUCUUACACUCCCAUCUUUCUUUCUUUCUCGUUGACUAGAUACCGCACAGUUUAUGGUCUUGUUCUUGAUUCAUCUCUGUCUUUUUAUUCUGCUUGAGAUCUGGUUUAUGAUUCCGAUCCUGCUUAGAAUCCAUUUCUAAUUAACCUAGCAGUAAAGACAGUUGGGCCGAGUAAACCAGUCAAAUAAAAACAAGUAAAGGAUCUUAACGCGGAAGCCAUAUAAAAAGAAGUUAGUCAUUCAGAUCGGAUUGUAUGCGGGAAAAGAUUGGAGCUAAGAGCCUCUUUGAAGUUUAUAUAAAUUAUGAAAGCAAGAGCGAAAGCAACAAAGGAUAAAAGAUGUCUUUGGCGAAAGUCUAUAAUUAGUAAGCUUUGGAAGGUAGGUUAGGUUAAUUAUUUCUAUACUUUUGUGCUGCGCUCAAUUCUCUGUAUGGCUGAUGUGUUUAAAUAAACAGCUUGUUCUUACCUUGGGCUUUGCCCCGAACUCCCCUUGAAGAAGCACCCCCUCCCCUUGAAGAAGCACCCUUUGAUACAACACUCGCUCGAACUACAGAUUCUGUUGAUAUAGUACCUGAGCCAGCAUCUUCUCUUACCGCAACACUUUGACCAGUACUUUCUGAUUUUCCUUCACUUGACUUUCGAACACCAUUUCCUAGCACAGAUCCGGACUCGUAACUUGCAGAAUUGACAACACUCGCACAACACUUGAAACCUUAUUCCAUGAAAAGCGAGUCUCACGACCUAGCCUAAGAAUGCACAAAUUCCAGAAGUAGCUAGCUAGUAGCCGCAUUGAAGCAGCAGCCUUUACGCAGAUAGAGCUUGAAGCCAAGGAAACCAACCCUCUUUUAAAGAAAGAUGAGAGGGGGAGAACUAAACAAUAGGAAGGGUCUGUCUUUAGUGAGCUUUCUUACACAAUAUCUCUCUCUUUGUGGACUAAUCCUUUGGAAUGUAUAGCACCUAACCUAAGAACUUAUUGAAAUUGCUAAUACCCGCGCAAUAGAGCAAUCAAUACUCUUAUAAAGACCGACUAGCAUUAGUAUGGAGGAAGCCUUAACCUUUCUAGCUGCUCCCCGCUGCCCCCUUUCUUUUGACCCUACUAAAACCUAAUAGGUUGAGCCACCCUUAGCGCACUUUGCUUAGGUCGUAAUACUCUUCUCUCCCCUUGGUUAGGAUCUUUUGUAGUUUACUAGACAUAAAGAUAGAUGGUUUACUAGACAUAAAGAUGGUUUACUAGACAUAAAAGUGUUAGGAUGGAUGGUUUUGAAGCUUCUUAUAUGGAGGAUUUUAGGGGUAAUAAAGCAACUUCCUUUCUGUGACAAGGCAUUCCAGAGCAUCAAGCAAUACUGAACAAAAGCACCAACCAGUCCUAGCCUAUACCGACCCACCAACGAGGUCUAGUUUUUUUAUUAUACCCACGUGCCAUGGAUCAUUCAUUCACUUGGGCUAGCCAAUAAGUAUGACGAAAGAAGGCAAAGACAAAGAGCAAACUCUUACAUAAGUAGAAUUAUGCUUGCCACUAUACAUCGGUAUAACUAGUCCUUUCUUUCUUUUGGAAUGCUCUCAUGUUUGCAGCACGGAAGAUGGCACCUAAUUGCCAAUCCCCUUUACCUGGUUGUCAUGAGUAAACCUUUGAAAGAUCCUUGUGACCAAGUUCACUGAACGACCGACUCGGGUCGAUACUGCUCUUUCGGGUCAGCUCUUUUAGUAAGUAGAAUAGAAUAUUCGUAUGUUGAACAAAAGGCCGUGAAAGGCCUGUAUAUUUGUAUUUCACUGGCAUCUUUCUUGAAGCACAUCCUCUGACUGCCUUAUUAUCCCUUCCCUUCAUUUCUAUUGGUAUUGGCUAUGGAAGAUGAGUUCUGCUUUGGCAUGAAGACUCGAGCCAAGGGGGGCGCCUCAAAAAGAUAUGAGAAAGGACGUCCGGGCAAUUUCUUAGUUCGUCUCUCUUACUCCCGAAGGAAAGAUGAUCCCGCAUUCCUUCACUUUCUUUGUCGGAGUCAUCUUACAACAAGGUGAAGCUUUCAACUUAUACGCAGUAGCUAAGCGCGUUGAAGCAAUUGGCCGGCCUUAUGCAAAAGACAUGGACACUCUCUUUUCUGGAUUCUCUCUCUUCCUCUUAUCUAACAAUUCUUUCACUAAAUUAUGAAACUAGGCGCUUAUUUGAUUAUUCAGAGGUUGGUUUCUUUCAGAGUUAAAGAAGAAGGAAGCUUGGGAGAAUAGGUUCCCACGGAUCGGUAAAAAGUAUGCAUCCUGAAAUCUUUAAUGAGAGGGUGAAGCCCAUUCAAAGCUCUGUGCUAGCACUCGACUUCGGUACUAGGCCUCUUACUAGAUAGAUCUUCGGAAUCUGAUGACCAGAUGCUCGGAAGUGAAAAGAGGGAGAAGAGAAAGUACUGAUUAGCAGCCCGGACUAAUGCCUUACCCCAAGCUCACAAGGUUUUUUGUUUAGAAUAGAACACUCUAAAAGAAUGAAGUUCAAAAAGGCUUCGCUCCAGGAGCCCGGUACGAUAGAUUUAGGCGGAUGGGUGUUUGUGGUGUGGGAGUAUAGAAAAUGGUAUAAAGUUGUGUUGAUUGGAGGAAUAAGAGAAAGGUGGGCAAUGCCAUUCUUCGGUAGGUGCCGAGGAAAUAAUGUUUCUGUUCCGGUUCAAAAGAAGGGUAUGUUGUAUCUUUACUUAGAUCUAGUAGUAGGAAUAUCUUAUAGGGUGCUCAAACUCUAGUCGUUGCUUGGCCCUUUGCUUGACCCGCAAUUAGGAAGCCUGUCUAUUAGCAGAUCAGAGUAGCUUAGUGAAAGUAGCCCAGGGGAAUAAUCCGGUGGCAAUGUCGGGUGCUUCUUAUUCUAUAUUGAAUGGCGAGUUCUUCUUUCGGGUGUCCUUGACCGGAGAAUUUCUAUGAACAAAAGAAAGAAAAGGGCUUAGCGACCUUGACCUUAGACGAGCGCAACGAAGGAUCUGAUCCAGACAUAUUGAUCUCCAUUUUGUGCACUAUGGGACGGAUCUCAAGGCCUAGUCGGUAAUCUCUUUCAGAGACCUUGGUAUUAUAGCAGAAUUGCCCUCUGGGUCCGUUAGCGUUAGGAGUGGGCAGGGUAGUCCAGAGUACAGAGCCAUAACAGGAUUAGUUGACAGAGCCGAGGUCGGCAGACAAUAAGAAUCGCAUGGGAUAAAUCAAUUUGGAAGACAAGAAAAGCUGGGUGAGCUAGGUCGUAGAGAUCAGAGGCAGAGAAGAAUCAAUGGAAGCAGUUAAGUAAGAAGGAGAGGAAGCUGGGGAAUUGACUAAGGAGUAACAGUAGAGGUCGACCAAGCACUGCCAAUCAGAAUGUCCCUAAAGAGAGUCAAAGCCUACAACCACUGCUAACGAGUCUAUCCGACCCGAGUCUAAGAAUCAAACUAGUGAAACUCAGCCUUAAACUCUAACCUAGGAAUACGGAAUUACAGAAUGAGUUUACAUAGCGGAGGGAUAUCCUGAGUGAGAUUAGAUGGAGUGGGGAUCUUUCUUACUAACUACUUACAACGUUGCUUGUCGGCCGAACACAGGCAUUGAAGUCACCAGUUACCUUAUUCUAUGAAACCAGUUACCUUAUUCUAUUUAUUGUAUAUGAAUAGUUACUUCACACUGUAUUAGUACUAAGAGAAGUGAGUAUUAGUAGAUUCAUUGGGUACAAUCUAGCGCAUCUAGUAGAAGACACAGAAUUUCACUCCCCGGACUAACGCUUUGAACUCGCUACCGCUACACAUUUCAUUAGUAGUUUCUUCUGCCCUUCCCUGGCUAGUAUAGUCGUUUCUUCUUCCCCGAACUCAACUUCUAUUUGAACAACUCCCUUUCCUUUGCAAUGGAAUCUCCAUCUAAUUACCUAUGAGCUUCUCUUUUGAAAACCUCAACUCUCACUGCUCCUGACGCAGACGCUGAUGCGCUAAUAGGAAUUGUGGAAUCGAAUCCACCCUAUCUCUAUAUCUAUCUCUUAUUACCAAUUAUUUCUAUAUCAUAACCCUUAUCUUUUACUUGCGCUUACGGAGCUCAUCACCUUGUUCUUUGGCUUCUAAACUAACUUAUUGCUUUCCCUAACCAUAACAACCUUAGGCUAGAUCGAAAGCAACAAACAAUGGAACAACCUUUAUUGCAUUUGAGUCCAGAAAGCUUCAAGUAAGGGCAGAGGUUCUCAUGCCAAGAAAGAAAGAAAGAUUAUUUGAUUAAAGGCAACGGACGGAGUUUGUUUACGUUCCUAUAUAUCUCUAUUUGUGUAAUGCUAAUGCUAUAGAAUAUGAAAAUGAUAUACUUCACUACACCGAACAAGCAAAGCAGAAAAGCUACAAUAAUACUGAUAAAUAAACUACACUGAGAAGAUACCGCGUAGUGAACAGACGUCAAGCCAAUCACUGAUCUCGCUGCUGCACUUAUAAGAAAUACUUCCGGACUUUGAAUCUACUUUACUUAUAUUCUGACUUGAGAGUUUAUGACUUGAGAGUUUAUGACUUGAGAGUUGCAUUCUGGAUUCUAUAAUUCCUUAUUUCUUGUUGAUGUUCAAAUGCUUUUGAGCCUUCUAACAUAGACGACCUGAUCUGAGAGACCAGACCUUCUUCUUAACAUAGACGACCUGAGCUGAGAGACCAGACCUUCUUAACAUAGACCUGAGCUGAGAGUAAAGUAAGUCAUAUCCAAAUAUGGUUCUGGAAUGAUUUCCCGCCCUAUACUGGACCAUCGGAAAGAGGCACCCUAUACUAUUGACUAAUCACUCUUUUCGGUAACUAAGCAAUAAUGAAGAGUAAGCUCUAAGCUGUUUGGUUAUUCGCGGAGUGUUUAUUUCAUCUGUACCUAAGCUGCUUUCAUAUGUACCUUGUGUUGGUACCUAAGCAGUAAGAUGUGUUGUUACUAUACUUAGAAUAGAAGAUGGAUCCACACUACAUAUCUUAUUAAAGAAAGAAAGGCUGGACAAUAAGUAUCUUUAAGCAAUGCGGGCAAGGCAGGACAGACAAUAAGUAUCUUUAAGCAAUGCUAUUUGUUGACUCUUUAUUCUAUGUGCGUGUGUAACGCUCUCUCUUUUAUUCAAUGCUGUUUGUUUACUUCUUUUCUUUAGUUCUACUGGUUCGCUAUUAUACUUACUUCAGAAUCGAACUAGUGCUUAUGAGACUCGGCUUGGUGCUAAUAAGAAUGCCCUCCCUGCCUCUUCUUCUAAGACCCCUGAGCCGAGAUCCUUAACAGCUUGGGAGAAUAGUAGGUAUAUUGCCCUAUAACUAUCGAUCUUGCUUUACGGCAUCUUAGCCUGUCUUUGCUGUCUUUGAUUCUAGGACUGCUGCAUCUCGGAUCGACCCUUUCUCUUUUAAUAAGGAAUUGUAAACAGACAUAACUUCUAAUAACUCACAAGUAUUGUGAGUGGAGCUCCCGCCGAGUAUCAAUGGUGGAUGAGCUAUGAGUUUCAUUGAACAGAGGUCUGGAGACGAGAAGGAAACUUUCUGAAGCCUGAACCUUAAUGCUUGUUUGAACCUCACCUAUUACUGCUUACUCACUUUCGAAAGCUUCUUCUAAGGCUGCUGAUUCCUCUAAAUAACUGGCUGGUUACUUCUCUGGGCGCCAAUACGAGAUUCUCUGAGGAUUAUUAUCCGACUGCUCUUGCUGCUUCCUUUGCCACUUACUUGCGCACAGCUUAUGACACCGAUCGAGCUUAUUCCCGAUGCUCAACGAGACUUGUUCUUUUGCCGAACCUUACUAACGGAUCUUGUUCUUCUUGGGCCUGUCUUCGGUCAACAAAUAUGGAAUGGAAAAACGACUCUCCUGUUCGGCAAGCAUUAACCGCGCUGCGCUGAGAUACUUUAGGACAAGAAAAAUAAAUGGAAUCCUCUUUCGAGCUCCCUAACACCGAAAACAGCACUUGCUUAUUACUCUUAUCUGUAGUUAACACAACGUCUUGCUUAUUGCGCCUGCCCCUCUCCCAGAAAUGACUCUAAACUCCAAUGUAAUAGCUAAUGAUGCGCGCCCUAUCUUCUUCUUUCACUAGCGCCCAACGUCGAGCUCAGUUAGCGAGUUCUUUUUCAUAAAAUAAUGGAACUGGACAUUAGAUAGAAAAUAAGGUAACCAAAGAGAUAGCUAGCUUACAGGAUUUAACAACCAGACUGGAUACUCUACUCUAUUACUUUGACUUUGUCUGAGCUAUAGCGGCACCCGAUCCCGAUCCAACUAGUAACUACAUAGAGGCUCUUUCAACUCCCACUCAGGAUCCAGCGGACUUUCCUCUUACAACAAAAGCACCGAAACAAUUUGUUUAGUUUGAGCAAGAGUAGGAAAGUACUGUUUUCAGCUUCUGUUGAUUGAUUCUUGAGUUGACAACAUACAUAGAUUCCACUCGAACAGUCUAUUUUCCACGAUACUUUGCAUAGAGGUUAAAGGGAAAGACUAGGUCACAGAAUCAGCCGCUAUUGGAUUUCAUAGGGUAUAAUUUCCUUUCUUCUCAUCGAGGUUGCCUUUGUCUCUUCAAAGCUUCCAGGGAUGAUGCUUGAACUGGAUACUCUAAGGGUAGUUCCACCGUGUGUAAGAUGCGGUAGCGUUCUCUCUAAUAUGGAAUGAUAUAUUACUAUAGAGUGAUAUAGAAUGAUAUAUUACUAUAGAAUGAUGUAUUACUAGCUGUGAGAAUAGAAUAUCCGAUGCUGUUAGCUUUCCAGGUAGUGAUUCCCAUUAGUUAAUUGGGUCUUUCUUCUUGAAAAGACUGCUUCCAUAAGGUAGUUCAUGCAUUGAUGCAGAUAAGUUGGAAUAUUGUCAGUGUGCCACGAGUUACUCCUUUUGUGACUCUGUCUCUCCUCGUUAAUUCGUUUUGAGUUAAAUAACCCGGUAAAGUGCUGACCCGCCCCUGGCUCAAGGGAAAUCUCUUAUUGGAUUUAGGGAACGACUCCCAGCCAAGUGGUAUCACGAUUUAGCUGUUUUCGAAAGGAAUUGUCAUGGUGUUUCUUUGAUCCGAAGCAGUUCUUGCUCAAGUCGAACCAGCUUCUUAAGUGGCAAGAGCUUAUGCCUAAAAUAUCAAGUCAGAAGGUAAAGUAAAGAGAAAGCAGUCUACACGUGAAAGCUAGGCGAACUCCAGCCUUCUUUUUGAUUAUAUAUACCGUUCUAGCCACGGAAAGCAUUCAUUCCAAUUUAUUGAUGCUUUUUGUGUAACAGAUCCUGCUGUAACAGAUCCGGAAUCGCUUAUACCCGCUGAUUCUAGUAAUAGGAGAGAUUCUCCCGGGGAAGCGAAAGAGUAGUGAGGCUCACAACUUAUCCCUACUUACUUAUUUUCGUCUUUUUUCGCUCCUGACCCAAUCAAACUCGGAUCAGUUGGCAAGUCGAAUCCCACUCGUUUGUUUUGAGUUAUCGAAGGGAAAAAGAUGCAAUUCAUUCUGCCCGGUCAUUGGCGAUGAGAUAAAGGCUAUUGCACGGAAAGCGACUCUGGCAAGAGCGGAUUCCCUCACCUCACUUUUGGAACCAGAAAGUAGGCCUUACGAGGGCGCCCUAGCUAGAUGAACUCCCUGAUUUGAACGAGGAAUAAAGUAGGUCUUUUGACUUAAUAUUCCACUAAUAGCCGUCCAUUUUCAUCAUGCAACUUUCUAUCACAGGAGCUGAAAGCAUUCGUGAUUUGAUCUUCUUCUAUAAGAGAAUAUAAUAAGAUAAUCAAGUUAAUAUGUUUGUGAUGAAAUCGAUUCCUAUUCUUUUGUACCCUAUACAAACUCCCCGGCUUCCUUUCGAGCUGGGUCAUCCAAAUGCCAGUCUUUUCUUCGGUCAAAUGAACCUAAGCUAGCAAAAAGGCCUAACCGCACCACCAACUGAUGCGGAUGAAUUAGCUCUAUAAGCCUAGCACCCAUUCCUUCCAACUUAAGAACAGGCGCAUCUCAGAAGGAAUUUGAACUUGCUCCGGACUCUUAAAGCAGGGGAACUCGACAAGCACCCGAAGAAAACGAUACUUAUUUACUUAGCGACCUCGACUUGAACACCAUCUUUCUUGCUCCGAGUAUCUAAGGUAGGAUUUUUCAACAACAACCUUUCUGUUAGCCGAGUCAACAAAUACGGAAAAUACUAAAUGGAACUAACCCCUGCCUAUGAAUCAUGAACUGAGGAGCUCACUGACCCUAACAGUAAACUAACACGAGCAGCUCAUCUCUAAACUCAUGAAUUGCAAAAUCACUUUCUUUAUCGCCUAGCCUAGUAUUAUAAUAGGUUCUUUUUCACUUCCUUUCCUUCCCGUAAGCGCACAACAUCCUUCUGAGCUCAACUCAACUGGACCUCAGUCAACUAAUAAUUAUUUGAGUCUAUCGAGCUAAAGUAUAUAGGAAUAUUACCUUUAUGCAAGUAUAUAGGAAUAUAACCCUUACUAGACAAUACUGGCAUGGCACUGCUGAUUCCUAUGAUCCUGCUUGUCAUCUUUCUUCUUCUUCCUCCACUUCUACUAUCACUCUACUUUUUCAGGUCUUGCAGCUGACUUGCAAACAGGCAAUUCAUAAGCUUCAGAUCUAUCUUAUGGUCCUAAUUCCUCACCUGCUCCUUCGUCUGCUUCAACACAAUCACUAGUCACCUCUCUUGCGGACUUAGAUACAAUAACUUGAGCAGGAACUGGCUAUUCUGCAGCAGAUGAUAUUUCUCCCGAACCAGUGGAUUCUCUCUUUCAUCGACAAGAAAGGUCAACCGCCCCCAUUCCGGAGCAAGUCCAGAUGUAGUAUUGGCUAAUGGGAGUUCGUCGUUAGUUGUGAGUUUCUUUCUUGUGCAGCUAAUUAGAGUAGAGUGGAGUUCGCCUUCUUUUAAGUGAGUCAGGAGUAAGCGAUGCUCUAUUGUUACUAUAUUAUUUAUAUGUUAUAAGGCGGAUUGUUUUAUUGUUUCGUGCGCCUAUUCUAUUCGUGUUCGUCAAUUAUGAUAUUCGUCUUCUUAAAGUAAGCUAUGCCGUCUAUUCUGAAAAGUCUGCAAUAAUAGGUUAGAGUUUAGGGUCAAAAGUGGUUGCGUUAUAUAGCAUUACUAGGGAAAGAACGGAUUUCAACGUAGAAAUAACCAUCGACCAGUUCCCAACCUUAUAUUUGAUAAGGCGGAGGCACCCUUUUCUAGUUGAAUAGAAUUGAGACCUUCCUUGUUCCCUUACUUGCUCUUGCGCUAAGUAAAUGAUUGGAAUUCGUUUUUUCGAGCUGACUUAUCUUACUGACUCCCUUUCUGUUUGCAACUUACUAUUGAACAGCUUCUAAUCUCGCAGGAUUGACCUAAUUCUUUAUGAGACCCCCCCCAUCUGGAUACUUCAACUACACUUUCUUCACCACUAGUAUACUCUCAUGAUCCAGCUUUAACACCUGAUUUAGAGUACUUAUCGGUAUUGGCUAAAGAAUACUUCUUUAUCGUCGGCUUAACUCGAACAGAAACUUCAUUAGCAUUUCAGAAAGGAAUAGAUUCUUCCCUGAACUCGAAAGCGCCUGCGCCCGGAAACCUCAUUGAAGAAGCACCUCUCUCUUAUAGAAUAGAAGAACGACGUCAACAACAGAUUCAAUUCGACUUGAAAAGAAGCGCCAAAAGUCCAUCAUUCCAUUCUUUCUGCUCAAAAGCAAGUAUCAACAAGUGGAGAAAUACCAACAAACAAACAAGCAAUGGCAAACAAACAGACAAGUAAGUACCAGCAUUCAAAAAGGGAAAGUGGGAUUCAAACCAACAAGCAAAGAUGUGAGAUCACGAGAAGCAGACCAAGCAAGCACGCCCACUAGCUAUUCUUUACCUAAUAGAUUGAGUUCUUUAGUGAUACUACUUGAGAGCGCUGGCAGCCCAAGGUACAUCCUUAUCCUGUUACUGAUGAGUUGAGUUAUUGGCUGGGGUAUCCUUUGCACGGUAUCUUUGCUCGGCAGUUUCAUAUCCUCCCUUGACUUUGAGUCUGAACUCUCCUGGGGACCUUCAUCUAGCUUGUUGGAUCACACCUCGCUUCUUUAGGGGACCCCGCAAAGGUAGGAUAGAAUUCACUGAAGUAGUAGCAGAGUGAAGCAGCUAAGUAUCAUAAUUUCCAGUUAGAGUUUCAUCCUAGUCUCAGCGGGCUUGUCUAAAAGGGAGAAGACAUAUACGAGGACAGGACUUGGCGGAUAGCGAAGUCUACUUAGCCAGUACUACCUGUCUUCAACUCUCACUCGACAAACAAGAACAGGAUCAAUCAGGCCCAUACUCAAGAUCCCGUACAGGCUUUGAUGCGCUAAGUCCUGAAACAUACUCAAUUAGGACUCCAAAAAGCAAUGAGUUGAACUCAAUACAGACACCUGAGUUCCUUGGCGCUCCCUACCACUGUAGUUGCUUGGCCCUUUUCUUUGAUCGACCAGAAGCAACUAUGCUCAAAUUCCAUUCUUUUCUUUGAUCGACCGGAAGCAACUUCUCUUAUUCUAUAUGUUUGUUAUUGUCUGUCUUUGGAACAGCUGCUCAAAAAGAAAACAAGCGACUAGUGGAAUGAAACUAGAUCUGAUCUCCUCGGGCUCGGGAAAGCUGUUCACCAGAGCUUUGACUAUUACUACCGGGAAAGCUGUUCACUAGAGCUUUGACUAUUACUACGAGCUUUAGUUAGAACCUAUUAAUGCUACAAUCCAAAUCAAAUGUCAUGACCUACUUAUCCUUUUUCAAGACAUACGAGGCAUACAACGUUAACCCGGUUCGAGAACCUUCUCCCAUCGCAUCGGGACAUUACAAGCCCCAUCGAACAAACUUGGAGCUCCUGAGGACAGGACUCGCCUUACUGGGCAAUAGCCACUAUAAGAGCACUUGACUUCCCCAACCACUUGACUUUAGAUCCGACCCACACGAUGCAGGGCUCUUUCAUAAGAUUCCAAUUGACCUGUUAAUUCAAGCAGGAAUUAGAACCGAUUCGAUAUUGCCCUUAAAAGAGUAUAGGUAGAUUAGGUAAUGGCGCAAAAAGCUCUUUCUUUUUGAGUCCUCUCCUUGUGGAAAGCUAAGCUUGACUUGGCUAGAAUAGCGAAUAUGCUCUCUUCCUUACCCUUAUGGAGAGAAAGGAAAGAGGGAAGCUUAGGAAGUCUGUCUUGGAAGGAAUUUCGACUUCCAUCCAUGAUAUGCCGCUGAAAAGCAUUAAGUAGGUCGCCAACAGGCUCAACCUUAUCCUACAGAAAAUGAUAUGUCUUUCAUCGGUAUAGGGUGAUAAUCAUAAUGCAUGUGCUCGAUAUUCAUUCAGCUCAGCGAGCAUUAGAUGCAGGAGCGUAUCUGGAAUGGGAAGGAACAAGCAGACGCCAAGUAACUACAAAUAAAGGCGCAACGGAGACUACUAAGAGCCAGAUUGGGAGUCCCCCAGGCAAACUCCGGUGUCAUGUUGCGAAUUAAGAGCUUCUAAAGCAAAGCAAUCUUCUGUGCAAGCAAGAGAGAGAAAAGAAGUGCAAUUGUCUGCUGCAAUCGAUUCUUAAACAGGAGGUGACCUUGACUUCCAAUAAUGAAUUUCCCGUUAGCGAUAGCGAGCCACGCCUUUCAACAUUACCUGCUGAUUCGGAUGCUGAGAAUCCCUCUUUGGAUCUUUCUUCCCUUGGUGAAAGUUAUGGCUUCAAAACAAGUAACAGUCAGAUAUUCUGUCCUUAUCGUAUCGCUCUGUGAACCUUCACCCCCGGCAUCAGAUAUCGUUCCUACCCUGGGUAAAGCAUCUUAUCGAGCGUAGCCAAACACUCUCACUGCAGAUGAUCUUUCUUCUUGAGCACCCUGCAUAGAUAGUUGUAAAGACAUACCAUCCCUUCCAUUUGCUUCUGACGAACUAGACUUUACCGAUCCAGAUCCGAACUCGUAAACGGAUUUAUUGUCCUUCUGUUGCUGGUGGAGUCAGGUUGAGUUUCUAGUGGUGUUGUCGUAUAUAGAAGCCGAAUGAAAGUCAGCUCCCCUACUUACUUAAUGCAUAUAACGGAUCUCGCCCAAUACCAGUAGUUAUCUUUGAGCUUGCUCCGAUCCGAGUUGAACAAGUAAUGGCUGAAGAGAAGAACAAGCAAGGUAAAAUCGAAUCAGUAAGCAAACAUAUUAUUGUUUAGUUGAGGGACGCCUAUACUCAAUGGUUGCGGGAAAGAAAUCAGGGUUAAGGUCAGAAUAAAGUACUGGCGCUGGAGGAAAGAUGGAAUUCUUUGUUUGACCGGCGGAAGCGGUAAGUCAGUGUCAUCCACGAGAGAAGCGUCGGAGCAAUAAAGAUAAAGAAAGUCAAAAGUAUGUAGCGCUUGUAAGCAGUAUAAUAAGGAUUCGAAUAAGAAUAAUGCAACAAAAGAUGGAUUGGGAGUUGUUGGCGCAGGAGUGGAAUAAGUUAUAGGUCCAGUAUCAAGUGGAGUUAUCAAGUGAACUACGGAAUUGCCUGUUAGAAAGUAAUCCGUGAAGUCCACUCUUAUUGCUAGAUGAUUCCCUGAAUGAAAGUAGACUUUUCCUCGAACAGAAACACUUAGCGCUGAAUAAGCCUGUAGUGGAUUCCAUUCGCCUGUCUUCAUCGUCAACAAGGCGAGUUUGUUCGCGUGCUAGUCUUGAUUUAGAAGGAGGUUAAGGAGGUGAAGGUGAUUGGAUAAAGUCGGUCGUGUAGAGAAGUUAUUGUAUUGCAAUCAUAUGCUUGAUCAGAAGCCUCAUAAAGAUUAGGCGAGGAAGCUAUGGAAGCUGUGGAAUGAAAGUAUGGUGAGGGUGCGAGUUCCCGUGACGUGUUAGUAUGAGUUAUAGCGUUUUCUUACUCAUUUCACUGAACGAACAGAAUGGAAUCCAUCGAAUAGAUAGGUGAUUGACCAUUCUCUUUGUUUACCCUCGCUUAAACGUAGCAAAAAGAUAUACUCUCGGGGCCCUAAUACUUUAUAGCCUUCUGAAGCGCGUUGGGGUCGUUGGUCACACUCCUUAUCCCGCUAAUGAUCCUGGUAAUGCCACUCAAUGAGCCUAGCCUCUAAUGAAACACCCGCUUGUAGUUUUCAAAAUGAAGGAAUGCACUACAGAAUACAAAGCUUCUUAUCUUUCUGCUCACGUCCUAACUCAACUAAUAGAGAUAAGGUACGUAACAGCUUACUGCCGCAACUAAUAAGGGUUCAAAACAGGCUACUACACUUUCUAUUCCACUUGAGACUUCUUUUGCAACCAUUAAUAAGUCUAGACCAGUAAAACGGGAAUUCCAGAAAUGCACAUGAUAUGGAUGAUGGUAAAUAACCAGUAUUGUUUGCUUUUCAAGACUCACUAACGGCUUCCCUUAUGCUUGAAAACAGACGACUUGACUGCUGGCUCGCACCCCGCUCUAUCUAUCCCUUUAUUCUUAUUCUUAUAGAAUAUCGGCGUAACCUAUAGCCUAUCGCGCCCUAAGCUUAAAGAAAAGAAUCUAGAAUUGGAAGCCUGAGCCUAUACUAAUUCAUUGGCUGCCUAUACUAAGGUACUCUAUUCUUGCCUUUCAUCUUGCACUGUGGCUUUUUAUCGUACAUUUGCUUGCUCCCUUGCUUCCGCUUAUUAACUUGUUUGUUUUGUUCCUAAUACAGUGAGAUUAGAUUCUUUCCAGCCCGACUUUGUUACUUCUCUUGCAUUAACCGAGUUCUAGUCCAAGUCGCUAACACCGGAGGAACUGAGAAGCACACUCCACUGAUUGUCCAUGUUUCUGAACGUAACUUCUGGCUUUACUUAUUAUGGGCUUUUGAACGUUACUGAUUGCCCUGACUUGAGAUUCUUUUAUUAUAGGGGUUCUGCCAGCUGAAAACAUCUACGAAGACAGGACUUGUUUCUUGGGCAGAGUCAAUCGUAGGUAGUUACUGCGGGCCCUUGACUACCGAACCUGUACCCGUACUUAAGCAAUAGUCCAGAAACCUUUACCCGUACUUAAGCAAUAGUCCAGAAACCUUUACCCAUACUUAAGCAAUAGUCCAUAUUAGAUACCAAUCGCAAGAGGGACCCUUAUCUAAUGGAUUUCUUGAAUGACCUGAACGGAAACCUCACUGUCAUUAACUUACUUAACUGUCAGAAACUUACGGAAGCUAUAGGCCAUAACGCGCAACUACUUGUCCGCUCGUGUUAGCUAGUUCUGUCACUUGUAGUUUGGCGUUUGUUCCAGAAAUAGGGUUUCUCUGUUACUAUCUUCUAUAAUGUGUUGUGGACUUAUCUUUAUAUUCUAGUGAGCAGUGAUGUUGGGUAACUCAAAUCUAGAAUAUGUCUACGCUGGUUCCCUUGCAUAACUCCGUAAGCCAUGAUGUAACUCCCGUUAGCGCUUUAGUUGAGUUGCUUAUUGAAUUGAGGAGAGCGUUUAACAUAUAGAAUGAAGUAAACAACAACCUCCUGACUGCUUACCCGGAAGUGAGAAUUGAGGCACCCACUAAGAAAAGAGACUAUACUUAAGAAAAUCAUAGAAGUGCGCCCAUUCGACAAUAUAGAUGAAAGUAAACAACACUGCUUGACUUCAGGCUCUGCUCUCUCUUUACUUCUUCCGAAACUCAAAUCCUCUCCCGCACCUUUUUCCUUUAUCCUGUUGUAGCCGAUAUCUCAUGCAACAUCUUCGCUCCUGGCUUCGGGUCGCCCGUACUUUUAUUCGUGAACCCCUGUCAUUAUCAUCUAAUCCGAACCAAUGUGGUCAUGGGUCCAUCUUGGCGGCUGAAGGGUUUGAGGGUCAAUUGCCACUUCUAUUAAUCCGGUCACUAGUAAUAUCUCUAUUUUCUUCCGUAAUAUCUCUAUUUUCUUCCUAUGUCACUAGUAAUAGCUCCAUUCAAGUCCUGCUCUGCCCUUUUUCUAUUAUUCGAUAUAGCAUCCGCCCUUUUUCCAUUAUUUGAGUCAAUCGAUGGAGCUCCUGGUCUAGUAUCCGUUCGUUAUCCUUCUUCAGUGAUCCAAGACCUGAGAGAGUAGACGCUGCAGAUUGAUCUAAGAAAUAAAGACUAUUGCUCUACCCCUGUAGGGCCUUCUGAUCUGAAAACUGGUUUGAUCAUGCCUUCAUCAGCUAAACGCACCAACUUACUAACAUAGGGUUUCUCAUUUAUUUGAAGCAACCAUUUCGACUAUCUUUUUCGGUUGUUUUAUGCAGGUAUCUAUUCUUGCCUUGGCAUUGCUAGAAUCUCCAUUCCCCGCCCUAUGAUGAUGUCUUUUUCGAUCUGUUAGAAGGGAUAUCGCGAGUUUCCGCAAAGCUGCCUCCACGCCACUGGAACGUUAGAAUGAAGCCUUCCACCUUUUCUCAGCCCCGAUGGAUUCGACCAAACGAGUGGAAUACUAUAGAAACCUAAUUGAGAGGAACUACUUGUUUGCUUUACUGGCUUUACUUACAGGGCAGGAAAGAGUGGAGAGUCAAGGCGAAGGAAGGAACUCUUUACACGACCCUCAAAAUACGAACGAAGAGAAACCCUAUUGGCCCUUCAUUUAGAGUAGAGCCUUUUCGGACAGGAGUAAAGGCCCAGAAGCUCAUAGGCACAAAAAAACGAAAGACUCCACUAAGGCAAGGAAAAAGUACUAACAGAAGCGAGGAGGAAUUGGGGUAUACAUUUCAAAGACAAUGGCCCUCGCUCUUACUAUCUUACUCUAAUUUCUCUCCUUAUAUCUUUCCUUUCUAUCAGUCAAUGCAGCCGAUAAGACUGAAUCUGCAAACUAGCAAUUCCACUCAAACCAGGUAAUGCAAAUACUAAUACGGGAAACCAGCUACUGACUUUGUUUCUUUAGCUAUUGAUCCGGAUUCUUUCGUCCAAACUUGUAUUACUUACUUGUAUUCUUGCUUGUUAGUUGGAAGCCUCCCUCGUUGGGGUACCUCGCUACGAUAGGACAUAAUAUGGUGUGUCAGUGUAUAAGAAGAUAACUCACAAGUCGGAAAUAAACAAAUACUCUGAGUAGAAUCAAACCAGCCAGGGCGCAUACUGGAAUGGAAUACAUAAUUUAGGAUACCGGGCAUAGCUCUAAUACAUUGAAAUAGGAAUACAGGAUACAUUUGAUAGUAAUUAGAAUGCUCGGGUUGGUUGGGCAAUCAGGAGUUUCGUUUUCAUUAUGACUUUCAGGUUGUUGUCCUAUGCUUGCUUGUUUCAUUAUCAAAUUACUACUUAUGUGUUUUAGCCUCAGACCGAUGAGGGAUAUUCCUACUUAUGAGCUGUAUUCUUAUUAGUAUAGUAGCAGUUGUCUUAUCCGUACGAGUUGCAUUCUGUUUGAAAUAAUGGAUAAGUUUACUUCACACUGGAACAAUAGAUCUUGAGUUCACUGAUAUAGAACUUGCUGUUUUUUCCCUUAUUUCCCUAAGCGAAUAGAAAGAAAUUGACUAUAUAUCAUAACAUAAUAAGUCAUUUUAGAAUUCAAUAGAUAAGUCAGAAUGCCAGGGACACCUACAGAUACGAGAUCGGGAGCUACACUAUUAAAAGCAUGAGCUGAAGUUUCAAAGAGAGUAGAGCAAGUGCUAGUUUUCAAGUAAAGCAAGGCUCUUGGGCAGUAUAAAAAGGUGCGGGGUGUGAUUGAGAUACAGUAAAGAAAGGAUCCGAUCCCGUCCCCCAGAGUUGAAGAAUAAAGUGCUGUAGCUACAGACUAAAGUGGUGGAGGUUUCUAUUUAAGGUCUUGCUAGCCUGGGGUCUAUUCUAUUCUCGUAUGUCCUUGUUCCGGUCUUUGUAUCAGUAGAUUUGUUCUAUUUAUUGUAUGCGCUAUAUCAUAUGUUCAUUUAGAUUCUUCUUUGUAGGUGGGGGCUAGAUCAUAUCUGUAUUACAACUAGUAGGUGUGCUGAAUCAGAUCCAUAUUGUAACUCAUCCGCUAUAGGAUUGAAAUCCGAUGGCGAAGAAUUCAAGCUAAGAUGUAGAGAUUGGUAGCCAGUAAGGGCAGACUGAUUGGAAGGGUGGUAAGAGUCAAAGAAGGGACAUACUGAUAGUAUAGGUUUCAGUUUCAAGGCAAGUAGCGUGAGGCACAUGGGUAGUAUAAAGCAAGGUGUAGUUUCAGUAGCGGAAGUCCCGGGUUUUCAUAUAAGUAUUGGCAGCACUGGGUCGAUUCCCAUCCUUAUAAGUUUGCUUCCGAGCUAUGAGUUAAAGUAUGCAGGGCAGUAGCUCCAUUCUUUUUAUCAGCAGCUCUAUUCUAUAUUAUGAGACGAAUCCUUGUCAGUAGCAGUGAAAUCCUGCAUGAAAUGCCUGCUGAUCGAGUUUGAGCCGGUUUCUUUGGUUCAUGCCUUUACCGCUUAGCUUAGUUCAAUCCAUAUAUCGAGUAGAGAGUUUCAGCCUGAAAUCAGUAGUUAGAAGCGUAGUCUGAGUUGGGAGUUAAAGCAUUGGAUGUAUUAGUUAAAGCCUUAGAAGCUGUAGGUGAAGUCGGAUAACAGUAAAGGAAAUCCGAGUUAGUGCUUUUCUUCUUAUUGGUGUUGGGUCAAUUCCCUAUUUUGAGCUGGGUUCUUUUGAGUUGGAUUAUGCUUAGUAGCCUAGUGGUUCUUACCUUUGAAUAGCAUUCUGAUUUGAUAUUGUUAGUCUUAGUCGACAUAUUCUGACUUUGGAACUGCCACUACACAACAUUACCUUAACUGACGUAAGGCGAUAUCGGUCUUUCCGGUAGUUGUUUGUAUUCUAUACUUUGGAGGUUGGUUCCUAUUAGUACUACUAGUUCGAGAGAUCCCUAGCAGUGAAUUUGAUUCUUGUUUCUAAGUUGUCAUUCCUUAAGUACACAUCUCGUCCGGUGGGAACCUUUGCAGUAGGGAAGAUUCAAUGAACGCCCCUUAAUCGUUGGCAUUCUUCUGAGCAUACUCAAUUCCUUAUGAACUAUCAGAUGCAUCCUGACUUUCAUGCUUGUACUGGACCACAACUCGUUUAAGGCUUGAACUGAAUCUUUCUCUUUAACCUAUAUGAACCAGAGCUUAUAGCUGCUAAUCACUUAUUGAAACUCAUAAAUUGUCCUCUCGCAAUGCAUUUGGAUUAAUAACAUAGACAGAACCGUGGUAGUUCCUAAUAAGGCUUAGGCGCAGUGCUCAAAAUUCCAUAAAGUAUUAGUUGACUCAACUGUCUUGACUGCUCGUUUAAAAGGACCCGUUUCAAGUUGAUUCAACCCCGCCCGGUUUAAGUAGCUCGCCUUUGCUUGUUCCCCGCUCUGUCAGUUCUUAUUCUUAUUCUAAACAAACGAGCUCACAAAGGACAGAGAGCCUACAGAGACCACAGCAAAAACAGAAUUCAAAACAAACGAGCUCACAAAGGACAGAGAGCCUACAGAGACCACAGCCCAAAAGCAAAGCCGAAAGCCAAGAAAAGAAGAAAGUUGGCUAUCUCGCAUCAAUCUUCUUCCUCUUCCCAAGUUUCGCUCAAACGGAGGAUACGACGACCCUCUUCUAUUUCAUCUACGUGAGCUCUAACAGUACCCCCGUUGAUUUUCAGAGUCACCUCCCCCAAUGCUUCCAAUGUGAAAGGAUAGAAAUAAUGCACAUUACCCGGAGAUUCACACUUUUGGAAUGUCCAUUCCUUAUUAUGCGUGAAGCUUAGUGCAAGCGAACUGGAAAUGGAGAACCCUUUGAUGUAAGCUUGAAUAGGCCAUGAAGCAUAAGAAGCCGACUCCUUCUUAGUAAAUUCUUUAUCUAGACAGGACCACUACAGCUUGCUUGAUACUCGAGUAAACCGUACAAUACUUUCCGCUCAUCAUUUCAUUUUCUCUUUUCUUUCUAUAAUAUUACCUUUUGAGUAAACAAAGAAUUGAUUGAAUCUCACUCGCUAAUAUAGGAGUAAGUGAAGCGACUGCUUUCCAAGGCCUUAAUCAUAUCCAUCCCUCUCCUCUCCCCCAUGCACAAGGUUAUCCUCAAGACUAGUUGAUUAUGAGGAUCUAGUCUUAAGUUAAGUUCUGGCUACUUUUUGCAUAGAUCUAAUAUUCUUUCCUUUCUUGUUUAAGUAAGGCAUAGUGUAGUGGCCAUCAUACAUUAAAGCAAAUGGAAUCACUCCUUUACCUUGAUCGAUAGACUUACGGCCGACCCGACCCCUUUUUUUGAAUUGAAAGAAAUCUGUUGUCAUAGUUACCGUCCCAUGGCCCACGACUUGGGAAUCCGACUCUUUUAUUGCUGCAGUUAGCUCCUAAUUCCUCUUCGGCGGAAGAGAUGGGCGCUUAGUUUUCACUUAAUCCCUUUCCUUUAUUCCUUCUUAACCUGCGUACACACCUGUAACUCAUCUUUUUCCAGGUUAUGCUAUGCCAUUCCAUUUAUCCUAUUUUACGGGUUAUGCUAUGCCAUUCUAUUAAUCCGACAAUCUUAGUGCUGUACCUAGGCAUUCUCUCUAUUUUAUUACUCAUUGAAAGAAGCCUGCUUGACUAUUGCUAUCUUUCCCAUGUCGCAUAUCGGCGGUCUCUUCCUUUUACAAGACUUGGUAAAGUGGCUCGAAGCAUUAAGAUGACGGAGAAAGAUUAGGUGCUGAAAGCCUGUAUAAAAGAAAUAAGGCGGAUUUCGGGAAGCCCUUGAGUCAGAAGGAGAGUAGUUUGACCAACAUAUCAGACAGAGCUGCUUUCGAAUGAAAAGAAAAUAUCCUAGAGCUCCUGCUUUUUGAAUUCCGUAUUGGACUUGAAAGCAGAGACGGGAGAGCUAGCCUUCCUUCGUUGGAUUGGAUAAUACUACGGCAGGAAAAGCUGGAAAGAGCAGAACACUUGAUUGACAGCAGCGACUUCUGCUUUUUUCAGACGAAGGCCGCUCCUCUUAUGAAAUACUCCAUCUUGUAUGAUACUUUAUAUAUGUCUAGAAGGUUAACUAUCCAGAAUGAAGGGAAAAACUGCUGUUAAGCUAUUACGGGAAAACGGAGCUGUUAAGCAAUUAAGGGAAAACAUACUGCUGUUAAAGUGAAGCACAUUAAAAUAGGAAUGGAAAAGAAAGAGUUAAGUGAUUGCACAGAUAUGAGUCUUUGUUGACCGACUGUGUACCCUUUGACUGCUAUUGAUAUGGCACUUUCAUUACUAUUGGAAUCAAAGCAUUGGUCUUGGUACCGUACUGGCUUGAAAUGAGCGUCUGACUUCGCUUGUUCCUGGGUUACCUAAAAGAACUAGAGCGCUUCCUUCGCACCUUGAUUGAUAGACGGAUCAUACCAGUUUUUGACUUGCUUUGACUUAAUAGACUUCAACAGUUGGGAGGGACUUGGGACAAAUAUGGGAUUCUCAAAUAAUACAGGAGCUUAGCGCACUAGGAAUUGGAGUCAAAUCAUUCCCCGGAACAGCUGAGUGAACGUCCCGAGCUCACACUACUAGAAUUAUGCCCCGUUACGCUCUUAAUACAGGAUCGUGUGAAAGUAAGGUUUCUUUGUAAUUGGGAUAGGUGUUAAUUCUUAUGUAUCUAUCCUCUGAAGGAAGCGGACAUGAGAAUCAUCAUUAGGCUCGAGCAAGAAUGAAAGGAAUGGCUGAAAUGGAUCCCUAUUCCAUAGAAGAAAUACAUCCAUAUUACAUAGAUUUAGCAUACUAUAAUUGACUUCUUCCCUAAAUAACUUAUAGAAUGACUCCAUGUAAGACAAGAUGAACCAGAUUCCAUUUUCAGGAGUUUCAACUCAUUCCGUUAUUACACCAGGUAAAUGCUCAAUAUCCAAGUAGACUUAGCAUUUGGAUUAAGUGCUUUUUGGAUUGUCUCAUUUCUGUGGAUUGGUGUUUAUACCCUAGAUUUUCUUACAUACUUUUAUGACAUACCUCCUCUAUUUUGUUACAUACUAAGUCUUCACUUGUUACUCCAGAAGUCUAGCUUGCUCUGUCUGUGUUCUUCCUGAUUCCUUAGAUUUAUUAUAUAACUCCGAUCCGAUAGUAUGUAUUAUAGAUUGGGAUCGAUGCAUAGGAAAUGAAUGCAUUUCUACACUAUAAGAAAGUAAGUGAAUGCAUUUCUACACUAUAAGAAAGUAAGUGGACUAUACAGAACAUUGAAUCAUGCCACAUCACAUAUUGGAUUCUAAGGGUAAGGGAUCUUACGGAGCCUGUUCAUGCAUAACAUGAUUCAGGUAUGAUCAUAGAAUCGGUUCUCUUCAAACGAACCGGCCUAUCCUGAGCUCAAUAGGGGACUGUAGUGAUGGUUGGAUGUGGAGACACAUUUGGUUGUGAAUUCCAACGUAGGAGGAGAGAUCGGAAUCUAUAUCCAUUUGCGCAGAGCAGAUCAAAUUGCUAUUUGCGCAGAGAAAAUGGAAUCUAUAUCUAUACUUUAUUAGUGUGUAAACUAUAAAAACGAGUCAAAGUGGAUUGGCCCACACUAGCACUUCCGCGUAAUAACUCUACCAAAGGCGAUCCUAUGUACAGGAAUUGCUUUCAGGUAAGCCUGUGACAAUGAAUGACUGCCCAAUAACCAAUUUGGUCCCGAGGUAAGGAAUAACCAGUUACACCAAAAGAUGCCUACAGCCGACACCUGUAACACAAGUAGAUUAGCGGGGUUUUUGAAUCACUUGUAAGGUACACACGAAAUACGUGCAAGAUCAUCAUUAGAACCAUCAUACUUGCUGACCAUCGAGAAACAGAUCGGAUUCACCAACCAAAGUGGGCCUCAGUCAUGUAGUAUUGAAAAGAGUCAAAAGCCUCUGUAAUGGUUAGACGGUAGU
rnacentral:lncRNA from 1 species